rnacentral:misc_RNA from 1 species
CCGGGCGACAGCGGUGGCGGCUCCUCGGGGUGCUCGGCUCCCUCCCACCUAGGCCGGCCCCGGCCCGACUCGCCCUCAGAAACUCACUGUUUGGGGCUGCGGACUUUCUCGUCGUGCCCCACAAAAGUAAAGCUUGGGGACCUGGGGGGAGCCGGAAGUAUCGCUUCGAGAUCCCCAAAUACUAUCGGGGAAACGGAAGUGGCCGUCGGUGGCAGAGACCUGUCGGCCAUGGAGCCUAAUGAUAGUACCAGUACCGCUGUGGAGGAGCCUGACAGCUUGGAGGUGUUGGUGAAGACCUUGGACUCUCAAACUCGUACCUUUAUUGUGGGGGCCCAGAUGAAUGUAAAAGAGUUUAAGGAGCACAUUGCUGCCUCUGUCAGCAUCCCAUCUGAAAAACAACGGCUCAUUUACCAGGGACGAGUUCUGCAAGAUGAUAAGAAGCUUCAGGAAUACAGUGUGUGUCUAUUUUUCUGCAGAUGUUGGGGGAAAGGUUAUCCACCUGGUGGAACGGGCUCCUCCUCAGACUCACCUCCCUUCUGGGGCAUCUUCUGGGACGGGGUCUGCCUCAGCCACUCAUGGUGGGGGAUCCCCCCCUGGUACUCGGGGGCCUGGGGCCUCUGUUCAUGACCGGAAUGCCAACAG